rnacentral:sRNA from 1 species
ACUUUCUGGAGACCCGCCCUCGCCAACAUGGCGGCGCCCAAUUGGGGCGGGUUCGUUCGCUUCGCGUUUUGGCCAGGGCGGGGGUCUGGGCUUUAGGCAGGUAGUAUUUAGUUUCACAAUGUUUGGGGACCUGUUUGAAGAGGAAUAUUCCACUGUGUCUAAUAAUCAGUAUGGAAAAGGGAAGAAAUUAAAGACUAAAGCUUUGGAGCCACCUGCUCCUAGAGAAUUUACCAAUUUAAGCGGAAUCAGAAAUCAGGGUGGAACCUGUUACCUCAAUUCCCUUCUUCAGACUCUUCAUUUCACACCUGAAUUCAGAGAAGCUCUAUUUUCUCUUGGCCCAGAAGAGCUUGGUUUGUUUGAAGAUAAGGAUAAACCCGUUCGAAUCAUCCCUUUACAGUUACAGCGCUUGUUUGCUCAGCUUCUGCUCUUAGACCAGGAAGCUGCAUCCACAACAGACCUCACUGACAGCUUUGGGUGGACCAGUAAUGAGGAAAUGAGGCAACAUGAUGUGCAGGAACUGAAUCGAAUCCUCUUCAGCGCUUUGGAAACUUCUUUAGUUGGGACCUCCGGUCAUGACCUCAUCAAUCGUCUGUAUCAUGGAACCAUUGUUAACCAGAUUGUUUGUAAAGAAUGUAAGAACGUCAGCGAGAGGCAGGUAAAUAUGCCAGAUUAUUUUAGUAAUAAGUUAUGUCGUAAAUUAUAAUCCAUGUAAUUAAAUGUAUGAUGUAUAAUACCACACAAGGAUUAAAGUGUUUAUUACUAAAAGUAAUUUAUUGAGGUUUUUUUCUUCUAACUACACCUAAAUCAUGAGCCUAUAAUCCAGAUUUCUCCAUGUAGAUUGAAAGAAGCAAAUAUCUUGAAACUUAAUCUUUUAUUCAGUACCCUAAUAUUUGGAAAAUAGAUUUGGGGGAUAUUUACAAAUAGAA